UAUUUUAAAGAAAAAUUUGCUUAAUUCAUGAUUUCUAACAUUGUUUUUCUAGAAAUCACGUUUGCUUUAUCUCUUUCAAUAUUAAUUAAAUAGCCUUCAUAACUAAAGAUAAUACAAUAAAUACAUAAAUCUGUUUCAUAUUAAGCAUAGAUCAAUCCUUUUAAAGAAAUUAAUUUUACUCGAGACAAAAUAUUAUCCGGUGUUUUUCAAAAACCGCGCGCAUUUUUCAGUCAGUCACAUCCGCCCCUCCCCCACAGCUCACAGUCACUGGAUCACAGCCGGACGGCUCGCGACGCCGUCACGGAAAAUAACAGCUGGACACAGACAAACGAGUCCCGCGAAUUGUAUUUUUAAACUGGAGAGACAGCUGACAGGAUGUCGUCAUCUGUAACCGUCACUCGCCACAGUUCUCAAGAGAGAAAGGCAGCGAGGGGUGGUGUGAUGUCAUUUGCAACAAGACGGCUGAUACUAAUAUGAGCCUAAAAUAAAGGACAAUAAUGGCAUCAGCCAUUCAAGUUAUGAUCCUGGCAGAUCUACUACUAUCUGAAAAGUAGUCUCUGCAGAUUGUUUCAAGAUACACAAGAUGGAGCGUGGAGAGACGGGACAUGGACCACAGUUUUUCAGCACCCACACCCCACACUCAAAUUCAUAUAGAAGUUCUCAAUUAUUAAAUGUUAAUUUCAUAGUUUAUAUUUAGCUGUGAAGUUAUAGUUCAUUGUCAUAAAUAUUAAACUACAUAUUAUUAUUAUUAUUAUUAUUAUUUUACAUGAUAUGCAAAUUUCACCAAUUUGUUUAAUGUGUUAAUUAACUUUUUGAAAUUGAUUAUCUUUAAUAAUUCAGAUACCUGUUGAAAUGCACAUGUAAUUAUAUACUUGCUCGUAUCUGGAAGGUUGUGUUAAUAAAAAUGAUGUUGAAAGCGAA